rnacentral:rRNA from 1 species
UACGUAGGUGGCGAGCGUUGUCCGGAUUUACUGGGCGUAAAGGGAGCGUAGGCGGACUUUUGAGUGAGAUGUGAAAUACCCGGGCUCAACUUGGGUGCUGCAUUUCAAACUGGAAGUCUAGAGUGCAGGAGAGGAGAAUGGAAUUCCUAGUGUAGCGGUGAAAUGCGUAGAGAUUAGGAAGAACACCAGUGGCGAAGGCGAUUCUCUGGACUGUAACUGACGCUGAGGCUCGAAAGCGUGGGGAGGCAAACAGGAUUAGAUA